GCUGGGCACAGUUGCACGCACCUGUAGUCCCAGCUGCUCAGGAGGCUGAAGUAGGAGAAUCGCUCGAUUCCAGGAGUUCUGGGCUAUAAUGUGCUAUGCAGACUGGGUGUCUGCACUAAGUUCAGCAUCAAUAUGGUGACUUCCCAGGAGUGGGGAACCACCAGGUUGCCUAAGGAGGGGUGAACCAGCCCAGUUCAGAAACAGUUAGAACUCCCAUGCUGAUCAGUAGUGAGACUGCAUCAGUGAUCAGCCACUGUAGUCCAGCCUGGGCAUCACAGUGAGACCCCAUCUCUA
ensembl:misc_RNA Metazoa_SRP Metazoan signal recognition particle RNA